GUCCCCGCAGCUCCGGAAGUGUUCUGCGCAGCGCGUCACUUCCGGUAGGGGUCGGCCUGCGGUCGUCGGGGGAGGCUCCCAGGCUUCGGACCAAUGCGUGGUCGUAGGAAUUGCUUCCUCGCGGUCCUAGGUUGAGACCCGCUGGGGAGAAAGUACGGAGCGUUCGCUUCUGAAGGAAUGAUGUAGACGUACAUGUGUUUCCUGCGUUAGCCUACCAGCAUCUUUAUUCGAUUAUAUACAUAUACACACAUAGAGAGAGAACGUCUACUCACUUCAACUGUUUAUACUCUGAUGUACAGCAUGAGAAGACAUUCUGGCAGCCCUGGAGUAGGUAAAAGGAUCAUCGUUUCCGGGCAACUAUGGUUUGACAUUAGCUAUACUCGGAAUUUCUAUGGACGUUAGGAGGAAGUUCUGGCCCCGUGAGCAUCAGACUUUAGUUUCUCAUGACAUUACCUCUCUAGCCACCCACUUCCCCAACUUCCACUCACCUUCACGACCGAUAUUUUUUGUUUGGUUUGGUUGUAUUUAGAAGCAACUCAUUAUAUAGCCAAGGCUGGUUUGCCUUGCUAGAUUACCAGACGCAGCGAUUCAUACAUCGUAAGUGUUUCGAUGCACAAUUUCUACCCACAAUAUAGACUGUGUUAGGAUUCCAGUCCCUUUCUGGUAGUGGUCACCAAGCCUUGUGACAGGAGGCUCACUCAAGUAGCAGCUCCAUCGAGAUGUUAGUUAACACUGGAGUGAAGCCAGAGGUGCUGUGAGGUAAAUGUUUCUGCAAGUCUGUAGAUAACCUAUUUCUACCUCUCCUGGAGUGUAUGUAUUCAAGACACCCGGGAAAAUGAGGCAGAAAGAAAAAAAGGCUGUAUAAUAGACUCUUUUAUGUAA